rnacentral:rRNA from 1 species
GUAGGUGGCAGGCGUUGUCCGGAAUUAUUGGGCGUAAAGCGCGCGCAGGUGGUUCUUUAAGUCUGAUGUGAAAGCCCCCGGCUCAACCGGGGAGGGUCAUUGGAAACUGGGGAACUUGAGUGCAGGAGAGGAAAGUGGAAUUCCACGUGUAGCGGUGAAAUGCGUAGAUAUGUGGAGGAACACCAGUGGCGAAGGCGACUUUCUGGCCUGUAACUGACACUGAGGCGCGAAAGCGUGGGGAGCAAACAGGGAUUAGACACCCUGGUAGUCCACGCCGUAAACGAUGAGUGCUAAGUGCUGGGGGGGUUUCCGCCCCCUCAGUGCUGCAGCUAACGCAUUAAGCACUCCGCCUGGGAGUACGGUCGCAAGACUG